rnacentral:rRNA from 1 species
UGGGGAAUAUUGCACAAUGGGCGCAAGCCUGAUGCAGCGACGCCGCGUGAGGGAUGACGGCCUUCGGGUUGUAAACCUCUUUCAGUAGGGAAGAAGCGAAAGUGACGGUACCUGCAGAAGAAGCGCCGGCUAACUACGUGCCAGCAGCCGCGGUUAUACGUAGGGCGCAAGCGUUAUCCGGAAUUAUUGGGCGUAAAGAGCUCGUAGGCGGUUUGUCGCGUCUGCCGUGAAAGUCCGGGGCUUAACUCCGGAUCUGCGGUGGGUACGGGCAGACUAGAGUGAUGUAGGGGAGACUGGAAUUCCUGGUGUAGCGGUGAAAUGCGCAGAUAUCAGGAGGAACACCGAUGGCGAAGGCAGGUCUCUGGGCAUUAACUGACGCUGAGGAGCGAAAGCAUGGGGAGCGAACAGGAUUAGAUACCCUGGUAGUCCAUGCCGUAAACGUUGGGCACUAGGUGUGGGGGACAUUCCACGUUUUCCGCGCCGUAGCUAACGCAUUAAGUGCCCCGCCGGGGGAGUACGGCCGCAAGGCUAA